UCAGACGAUGCGUCAUGCAUAUCAAUAAGCGGAGGAAAAGAAACUAACAAGGAUUCCCCUAGUAACGGCGAGUGAAGCGGGAAGAGCUCAAAUUUGAAAUCUUAAAGGGUUUCCCUUUACGAAUUGUAGUUUAAAGAAGUGUUUUCUGUUGAGGUUUUGGUAAAAGUUCUUUGGAAUAGGACAUCGAUAGAGGGUGAGAAUCCCGUAUUUGACCUUUACUUUCAACUUUGUGAUACACUUUCAAAGAGUCGGAUUGUUUGGGAAUGCAGUCCAAAAUGGGUGGUAAAUUUCAUCUAAAGCUAAAUAUUGGCGAGAGACCGAUAGCGAACAAGUACCGUGAGGGAAAGAUGAAAAGAACUUUGAAAAGAGAGUUAAACAGUACGUGAAAUUGUCAAAAGGGAAGCGUUUGACACCAGUGUUGUUUUUCUGAAAAUCAAUUAAAGAACUGUUUAUGCUAAGCUGUUUAGACUUUAUCAGCUAUCUGUUUAGUUUUGAGCUUUUCUUUAAUGCACUUUUCAGUUAACAAGUCAACAUCAAUUUCUUUUGCUGUAAAAAAGCUUGAGGAAGGUGGCUUGAGAUUCGUCUUAAGUGUUUAUAGCCUCUUGCCUAUGCAGUCGGAGAGAUUGAGGUCUGCAGCGUAGAUCCUUCGGGGCUAAAUGCAUUUGUGCUAAGUUAUAGCAUUUUAUAGACAACUUGUUGACUAUGAUUUGUCUUGUAGCUUACUCGCUUAUGUUAUUUUACCUACGCUUAGGAUGUUGACACACGCGCGUGCUCG
rnacentral:rRNA from 1 species